rnacentral:rRNA from 1 species
UACUGCAUUUUUUCUUACACAUGUGUUUUUCUUUUUUUGAAAACUUUGCUUUGGUAGGGGGCGUGUGGGGCCUGCCAGAGAUUAAACUCAACCAAAUUUUAUUUAAUGUCAACCGAUUAUUUAAUAGUCAAAACUUUCAACAACGGAUCUCUUGGUUCUCGCAUCGAUGAAGAACGCAGCGAAAUGCGAUAAGUAAUAUGAAUUGCAGAUAUUCGUGAAUCAUCGAAUCUUUGAACGCACAUUGCGCCCUUUGGUAUUCCAAAGGGCAUGCCUGUUUGAGCGUCAUUUCUCCCUCAAACCCUCGGGUUUGGUGUUGAGCGAUACGCUGGGUUUGCUUGAAAGAAAGGCGGAGUAUAAACUAAUGGAUAGGUUUUUUCCACUCAUUGGUACAAACUCCAAAACUUCUUCCAAAUUCGACCUCAAAUCAGGUAGGACUACCCGCUGAACUUAAGCAUAUCAAUAAGCGGAGG